rnacentral:rRNA from 1 species
UCCGUAGGUGGAUAAUUAAGUCAGAGGUGAAAUCCUGCAGCUCAACUGUAGAAUUGCCUUUGAUACUGGUUAUCUUGAGUCAUUAUGAAGUGGUUAGAAUGUGUAGUGUAGCGGUGAAAUGCAUAGAUAUUACACAGAAUACCGAUUGCGAAGGCAGAUCACUAAUAAUGUACUGACACUGAUGGACGAAAGCGGUGGGGAGCGAACA